rnacentral:rRNA from 1 species
AGCGAACGCUGGCGGCAGGCUUAACACAUGCAAGUCGAACGCCAUCUUCGGAUGGAGUGGCAGACGGGUGAGUAACGCGUGGGAACGUACCCUUUGGUUCGGAAUAUUCUCGGGAAACUGAGAGCAAUACCGGAUAAGCCCUACGGGGGAAAGAUUUAUCGCCAAAGGAGCGGCCCGCGUCAGAUUAGGUAGUUGGUGGGGUAAAGGCCUACCAAGCCUACGAUCUGUAGCUGGUCUGAGAGGAUGAUCAGCCACACUGGGACUGAGACACGGCCCAGACUCCUACGGGAGGCAGCAGUGGGGAAUCUUGGACAAUGGGCGCAAGCCUGAUCCAGCCAUGCCGCGUGGAUGAUGAAGGCCUUAGGGUUGUAAAGCUCUUUUACCCGAGAUGAUAAUGACAGUAUCGGGAGAAUAAGCUCCGGCUAAACUCCGUG